UACGGAGGGUGCAAGCGUUGUCCGGAUUUAUUGGGUUUAAAGGGUGCGUAGGCGGUGCUUUAAGUCUGGGGUGAAAGCCCGUUGCUCAACAACGGAACUGCCCUGGAAACUGGAGCACUUGAGUACAGACGAGGGUGGCGGAAUGGAUACUGUAGCGUGAAAUGCAUAGAUAGUAUCCAGAACCCCGAUUGCGAAGGCAGAC
rnacentral:rRNA from 1 species